GUUAGACACAGAUGGGGUCAGAGACAGAUGAGGUCAGAGACGGAUGGGGUCAGAGAUGGAUGAGGUCAGAGACGGAUGGGGUCAGAGACAGAUGGGGUCAGAGACAGAUGAGGUCAGACACAGAUGGGGUCAGAGACAGAUGGGGUCAGACACAGAUGGGGUCAGAGACAGAUGGGGUCAGACACAGAUGGGGUCAGAGACAGAUGAGGUCAGAGACAGAUGAGGUCAGAGACAGAUGGGGUCAGAGACAGAUGAGGUCAGAGACAGAUGGGGUCAGAGACAGAUGAGGUCAGAGACAGAUGGGGUCAGAGACAGAUGGGGUCAGACACAGAUGGGGUCAGAGACAGAUGAGGUC